GAUGAACGCUGGCGGCGUGCCUAAUACAUGCAAGUCGAACGAAACUUCUUUAUCACCGAGUGCUUGCACUCACCGAUAAAGAGUUGAGUGGCGAACGGGUGAGUAACACGUGGGCAACCUGCCCAAAAGAGGGGGAUAACACUUGGAAACAGGUUCUAAUACCGCAUAACCAUAGUUACCGCAUGGUAAUUAUGUAAAAGGUGGCUAUACUACCGCUUUUGGAUGGGCCCGCGGCGCAUUAGCUAGUUGGUAGGGUAAAGGCUUACCAAGGCAAUGAUGCGUAGCCGAAUUGAGAGGUUGAUCGGCCACAUUGGGACUGAGACACGGCCCAAACUCCUACGGGAGGCAGCAGUAGGGAAUCUUCCACAAUGGGCGAAAGCCUGAUGGAGCAACGCCGCGUGGGUGAAGAAGGUCUUCGGAUCGUAAAACCCUGUUGUUAGAGAAGAAAGUGCGUGAGAGUAACUGUUCACGUUUCGACGGUAUCUAACCAGAAAGCCACGGCUAACUACGUG
rnacentral:rRNA from 1 species